rnacentral:rRNA from 1 species
GAUGAACGCUGGCGGCGUGCCUAAUACAUGCAAGUCGAGCGCACGGACGAGAAGCUUGCUCUUCUGAUGUUAGCGGCGGACGGGUGAGUAACACGUGGAUAACCUGCCUUUAAGACGGGGAUAACUUCGGGAAACGGUAGCUAAUACCGGAUAAUAUUUGAAACCGCAUGGUUCAAAAGUGAAAGACGGUCUUGCUGUCACUUAUAGAUGGAUCCGCGCUGCAUUAGCUAGAGGGGAAGGUAACGGCUUACCAAGGCAACGAAGAAUAGCCGACCUGAAGGGGUGAUCGGCCACACGGGAACUGGGACACGGUCCAGACUCCUACGGGAGGCAGCAGUAGGGAAUCUUCGGAAAUGGGGGAAAGCCUGACGGAGCAAGGCGCGGUAAGGGAGGAGGGUUUUCGAUUCUUAAACCCCUGUUUAAAGGGAAGAAGAUAUGUGUAAGUAACAGUGCACACCGUGACGGUAGCUAAUCAGAAAGCCACGGCUAACUACGUG